rnacentral:lncRNA from 1 species
GCUCUAGGAAGAAGAUGUUGUACAUAACACAUUAAGAAGAAAAUUGAAGAAGUGAAGGAACUUGUCCAAUCACAAUCCAGCCAGUUUCAGCAGUGAGGUUUCUGUCUAGUUUGCUGUGCCUUAAAAUGUUUAGAAAUGACUAGGUUUGGGGAGAAUUUGACACAUGACAAUAGAUAAUCUAAACAACAUGAACAGUGUGCAUCAUGCCUAUUUUUUUGGAAUUCUAGUGUUCAGAGCCUGGCAUAUGUUGUAGGUUUGUGAAUGAAUAUAUAAGUAUAUGUUUAGUUAUUUUUCAGGUUAUUAUGUGAAUAUAUAAAUAAAAGAUAAAAAGUAGAUUCUUGAAUGAUGGAAAGAUGCAUAAAAUAUGACAAUUUGACUCAUUUGUUGAAUCAUCAGAUGAAAGAUGCAAUUAAACCAUCCUAUUUUAAUACUUUGGGCAAUAAG